GCGGCCUAUCAGCUUGUUGGCGGGGUAAUGGCCCACCAAGGCAACGACGGGUAGCUGGUCUGAGAGGAUGGUCAGCCACACUGGGACUGAGACACGGCCCAGACUCCUACGGGAGGCAGCAGUGGGGAAUCUUGCGCAAUGGGCGAAAGCCUGACGCAGCAACGCCGCGUGCGGGAAGAAGGCUUUCGGGCUGUAAACCGCUUUCAGCAGGAACGAAAAUGACGGUACCUGCAGAAGAAGGAGCGGCCACUAUGUGCCAGCAGCCGCGGUGAUACAUAGGCUUCAAGCGUUGUCCGGAUUUAUUGGGCGUAAAGAGUUCGUAGGCGGUCGAGUAAGUCGGGUGUGAAAAUUCUGGGCUCAACCCAGAGACGCCACCCGAUACUGCUUAACUUGAGUUCGAUAGGGGAGACUGGAAUUCCU
rnacentral:rRNA from 1 species